AUUGAACGCUGGCGGCAGGCCUAACACAUGCAAGUCGAGCGGAGCGGCGGACGGGUGAGUAAUGCCUAGGAAUCGGCCUGGUAGUGGGGGAUAACGUCCGGAAACGGGCGCUAAUACCGCAUACUAUCAGAUGAGCCUAGGUCGGAUUAGCUAGUUGGUGGGUUAAAGGCCUACCAAGGCGACGAUACGUGACUGGUCUGAGGGGAUGAUCAGUCACGCUGGAACGGAGACACGGUCCAAGAUCCUACGGGAGACAGCAGUGGGGAAUUUUGGAAAAUGGGCGAAUGCCUGCGCCAGACGUGCCGCGUGUGUGAAGAAGGUCUUCGGAUGGUAAAGCACUUUAAGUUGGGAGGCGUUACCAACAGAAUAAGCACCGGCUAACUUCGUGCCAGCAGCCGCGGUAAUAC
rnacentral:rRNA from 1 species